rnacentral:rRNA from 1 species
AUUGAACGCUGGCGGCAUGCCUUACACAUGCAAGUCGAACGGCAGCGGGGACUUCGGUCCGCCGGCGAGUGGCGAACGGGUGAGUAAUGUAUCGGAACGUACCAUUGAGUGGGGGAUAACUAUCCGAAAGGAUAGCUAAUACCGCAUGUUCUCUCCGGAGGAAAGCAGGGGACCGCAAGGCCUUGCGCUCAUUGAGCGGCCGAUAUCAGAUUAGCUAGUUGGUGGGGUAAACGCUCACCUAGGCGACGAUCUGUAGCGGGUCUGAGAGGAUGAUCCGCCACACUGGAACGGAGACACGGGCCAGACUCCUACGGGAGGCAGCAGUGGGGAAUUUUGGACAAUGGGGGCAACCCUGAUCCAGCCAUGCCGCGUGAGUGAAGAAGGCCUUCGGGUUGUAAAGCUCUUUCGGCCGGGAAAAAAUCGCAUGGGCUAAUAUCCUGUGUGGAUGAUGGUACCGGAAUAAGAAGCACCGGCUAACUACGUGCCAGCCGCCGCCGUAA